GGGAGGGGGGAACGGGCUUCGACUCUCGUCUGCAGCAGUCAGUCUUUUUCUCUCUCCUAU
rnacentral:pre_miRNA from 1 species